rnacentral:rRNA from 1 species
AUUCGCGGCCUAUCAGCUUGUUGGUGAGGUAAUGGCUCACCAAGGCGUCGACGGGUAGCCGGCCUGAGAGGGUGACCGGCCACACUGGGACUGAGACACGGCCCAGACUCCUACGGGAGGCAGCAGUGGGGAAUAUUGCACAAUGGGCGAAAGCCUGAUGCAGCAACGCCGCGUGAGGGACGACGGCCUUCGGGUUGUAAACCUCUUUUAGCAAGGAAGAAGCGAAAGUGACGGUACUUGCAGAAAAAGCGCCGGCUAACUACGUGCCAGCAGCCGCGGUAAUACGUAGGGCGCAAGCGUUAUCCGGAAUUAUUGGGCGUAAAGAGCUCGUAGGCGGUUUGUCGCGUCUGCUGUGAAAACCCGAGGCUCAACCUCGGGCCUGCAGUGGGUACGGGCAGACUAGAGUGCGGUAGGGGAGAUUGGAACUCCUGGUGUAGCGGUGGAAUGCGCAGAUAUCAGGAAGAACACCGAUGGCGAAGGCAGAUCUCUGGGCCGUAACUGACGCUGAGGCGCGAAAGGGUGGGGAGCAAACAGGCUUAGAUACCCUGGUAGUCCACCCCGUAAACGUUGGGAACUAGUUGUGGGGUCCAUUCCACGGAUUCCGUGACGCAGCUAACGCAUUAAGUUCCCCGCC